rnacentral:rRNA from 1 species
CACGUAGGGUGCGAGCGUUGUCCGGAAUUAUUGGGCGUAAAGAGCUCGUAGGCGGUGUGUCACGUCGGCCGUGAAAACCUGCAGCUUAACUGUGGGCGUGCGGUCGAUACGGGCAUCACUGGAGUUCGGCAGGGGAGACUGGAAUUCCUGGUGUAGCGGUGAAAUGCGCAGAUAUCAGGAGGAACACCGGUGGCGAAGGCGGGUCUCUGGGCCGAUACUGACGCUGAGGAGCGAAAGCGUGGGGAGCAAACCGG